GGGCCCGCACAAGCGGUGGAGCAUGUGGUUUAAUUCGACGCAACGCGAAGAACCUUACCUGGGCUCGAACGGCUUCCCAACGGCUGUGGAAACAUGGCUAUCCCGCAAGGGAGUGGAGUCGAGGUGCUGCAUGGCUGUCGUCAGCUCGUGUCGUGAGAUGUUGGGUUAAGUCCCGCAACGAGCGCAACCCUUGUCCUGUGUUGCUAAUCGCAAGAUGCACUCUCAGGAGACCGCCAGCGAUAAGUUGGAGGAAGGUGGGGAUGACGUCAAGUCAUCAUGGCCUUUAUGUCCAGGGCUACACACGUGCUACAAUGGGCGGUACAAACCGACGCCAACCCGCGAGGGGGAGCAAAUCGGAAAAAACCGCUCUCAGUUCGGAUUGCAGGCUGCAACUCGCCUGCAUGAAGCUGGAAUCGCUAGUAAUGGUAUAUCAGAACGAUACCGUGAAUACGUUCCCGGGCCUU
rnacentral:rRNA from 1 species